rnacentral:rRNA from 1 species
UGGGGGAUAUUGCACAAUGGGCGCAAGCCUGAUGCAGCGACGCCGCGUGGGGGAUGAAGGCCUUCGGGUUGUAAACUUCUUUUGCUCUGAACAAGGCGCACUUUGGGGUGUGUUGAGUGUAGGGGUUGAUUAGCGCCGGCUAACUACGUGCCAGCAGCCGCGGUAAUACGUAGGGCGCGAGCGUUGUCCGGAAUUAUUGGGCGUAAAGGGCUUGUAGGUGGCUGGUUGCGUCUGUCGUGAAAGCUCAUGGCUUAACUGUGGGUUUGCGGUGGGUACGGGCUGGCUUGAGUGCAGUAGGGGAGGCUGGAAUUCCUGGUGUAGCGGUGGAAUGCGCAGAUAUCAGGAGGAAUACCGGUGGCGAAGGCGGGUCUCUGGGCUGUUACUGACACUGAGGAGCGAAAGCAUGGGGAGCGAACUGG